rnacentral:rRNA from 1 species
GAUGAACGCUGGCGGCGUGCCUAAUACAUGCAAGUCGAGCGAACGGACGAGAAGCUUGCUUCUCUGAUGUUAGCGGCGGACGGGUGAGUAACACGUGGAUAACCUACCUAUAAGACUGGGAUAACUUCGGGAAACCGGAGCUAAUACCGGAUAAUAUUUUGAACCGCAUGGUUCAAAAGUAAAAGACGGUCUUGCUGUCACUUAUAGAUGGAUCCGCGCUGCAUUAGCUAGUUGGUAAGGUAACGGCUUACCAAGGCAACGAUGCAUAGCCGAUCUGAGAGGGUGAUCGGCCACACUGGAACUGAGACACGGUCCAGACUCCUACGGGAGGCAGCAGUAGGGAAUCUUCCGCAAUGGGCGAAAGCCUGACGGAGCAACGCCGCGUGAGUGAUGAAGGUCUUCGGAUCGUAAAACUCUGUUAUUAGGGAAGAACAUAUGUGUAAGUAACUGUGCACAUCUUGACGGUACCUAAUCAGAAAGCCACGGCUAACUACGUG